AUGUGGACGAUCUGGCAUUCUCGCAACCGGAUCAAAUAUGGGGAAGAGGGGAGAGAUCCAACAGCUGCAAUCAGGUCAACUAGGGAGGCCCUUGCGCUGCUGGAGUUGCCUCAGAAGGAAACUAACGUCCUGCCAGGUUUCGGAUGGCGGCCUCCCGAGCCAGGUAUGAUCAAGAUAACGACGGAUGGUGCACUCAAUGUGGCAGAGGGUCGAGGAGGCGCGGGUGGUGUAGCCCGCUCCGAGUCAUCGCUACUGGGAGCUUGGUGCAAACCGUUCGGUGACAUUUCAGAUCCACUAAUUAUGAAAGCCCUUUCAAUGCGGGAAGGAGCACCGUUUGCAAAACUUCGAGGCCUAUCGCAUGUGGUAAUGGAGACCGACUACGAGGAGUUAGAUCAACUCUCUAAUACUUGUCACAACUCUCGUUCGAUUGUGGCUCCUAUCCUAGAUGAAAUAGGAGAGCUAGUUUUUGAAAGGAAAAAAAAAACAGUUUUUAAGAUUCAGCAUGUAAACAUGGCAGCAAACUUACCGGCGCAUCUCUGUGCAAAACGUGCAUGCACUCUGAAUGUGACCGAUUGUUGCUCGAGGAGACCCCUAGCUUCUUGGUAA
rnacentral:rRNA from 1 species